UACGAAGGGGGCUAGCGUUGCUCGGAAUCACGUGGCGUAAAGGGUGCGUAGGCGGGUCUUUAAGUCAGGGGUGAAAUCCUGGAGCUCAACUCCAGAACUGCCUUUGAUACUGAGGAUCUUGAGUUCGGGAGAGGUGAGUGGAACUCCGAGUGUAGAGGUGAAAUUCGUAGAUAUUCGGAAGAACACCAGUGGCGAAGGCGGCUCACUGGUCCGGUACUGACGCUGAGGUGCGAAAGCGUGGGGAGCAAACAGGG
rnacentral:rRNA from 1 species